AGCAACAGUGGCAGUACCAUUGCUAAUGAAGUUAAUCUGAGGUGUGAUUAUUGCUAGUUGAACCAUUUAACAGCCCUUUACAUUAUCGAUUUGUAAAUGGAACCUUCAUACAAAG
rnacentral:snRNA from 1 species